GAUGAACGCUGGCGGCGUGCCUAAUACAUGCAAGUCGAGCGAACGGACGAGAAGCUUGCUUCUCUGAUGUUAGCGGCGGACGGGUGAGUAACACGUGGAUAACCUACCUAUAAGACUGGUAUAACUUCGGGAAACCGGAGCUAAUACCGGAUAAUAUUUUGAACCGCAUGGUUCAAAAGUGAAAGACGGUCUUGCUGUCACUUAUAGAUGGAUCCGCGCUGCAUUAGCUAGUUGGUAAGGUAACGGCUUAGCAAGGCAACGAUGCAUAGCCGACCUGAGAGGGUGAUCGGCGACCCUGGAACUUAGACACGGUCCAUGGUCCUACGGGAGGCAGCAGUAGGGAAUCUGCCGCAAUGGGCGAAAGCCUGACGGAGCAACGGCGCGGGAGAGAUGAAGGUCUUCGGAGCGUAAAACUCUGUUAUUAGGGAAAAACAUAUGUGUAAGUAACUGUGCACAUCUUGACGGUACCUAAUCAGAAAGCCACGGCUAACUACGUG
rnacentral:rRNA from 1 species